AUAAAAUAUCUUUCUCCAACAAUGGAUUCUAACACUACCACCACAACAACAAUCAAGGCUGAACCCAGCCCCAUUGCUCCCACUGCCGAGCCGGUUGUCGAAACCGCAACCGAAGCACCAG
rnacentral:ribozyme from 1 species